ACGUUGACGAGUGCAGCGAGGAGGACCUUUGCCAGAGCGGCAUCUGUACCAACACCGACGGCUCCUUCGAGUGCAUCUGUCCUCCGGGACACCGCGCUGGCCCGGACCUCGCCUCCUGCCUCGACGUGGACGAAUGUCGCGAGCGAGGCCCAGCCCUGUGCGGGUCGCAGCGCUGUGAGAACUCUCCCGGCUCCUACCGCUGUGUCCGGGACUGCGAUCCUGGGUACCACGCGGGCCCCGAGGGCACCUGUGACGAUGUGGAUGAGUGCCAAGAAUAUGGUCCCGAGAUUUGUGGAGCCCAGCGUUGUGAGAACACCCCUGGCUCCUACCGCUGCACACCAGCCUGUGACCCUGGCUAUCAGCCCACGCCAGGGGGCGGAUGCCAGGAUGUGAACGAGUGUGAAACACUACAGGGUGUAUGUGGAGCUGCCCUGUGUGAAAAUGUCGAAGGCUCCUUCCUCUGUGUCUGCCCCAACAGCCCGGAAGAGUUUGACCCCAUGACUGGACGCUGUGUUCCCCCACGAACUUCUGCUGACGUGGACGAAUGUCAGCUCUUCCGAGACCAGGUGUGCA
rnacentral:lncRNA from 1 species